rnacentral:rRNA from 1 species
UGGGGAAUUUUGCACAAUGGGGGAAACCCUGAUGCAGCGACGCCGCGUGAUUUAGAAGGCCUUCGGGUUGUAAAAAUCUUUUUUACGGGAUGAAAAUGACAGUACCGUAAGAAUAAGGUCCGGCUAAAUACGUGCCAGCAGCCGCGGUAAUACGUAUGGACCGAGCGUUGUCCGGAAUCAUUGGGCGUAAAGGGUACGUAGGCGGCCUAGUAAGUUAGAAGUUAAAGAAUAUAGCUCAACUAUAUAAAGCUUUUAAAACUGCUAGGCUUGAGAGAUGGAAGGGAAAGUGGAAUUCCUAGUGUAGCGGUGAAAUGCGCAGAUAUUAGGAAGAAUACCGGUGGCGAAGGCGACUUUCUGGCCAUAAUCUGACGCUGAGGUACGAAAGCGUGGGUAGCAAACAGG